CCCCUGGCCCAGCCUGGGAGGGGGGAGGACUUUGGCUGGGCACCAGGUCCAGUCCCUAUCACACAGUCCUUGAUGUCAUGUACUCUAUUCCCUGACCCCCCAUGCAGCUCUGCUCUUUUCUUGAGGGCAGCACCCCCGUUCUGUGUCUGGGGGCUGACCUGGGCCCAGCACAGCAUUUAGGGACUGAUUACAUCAGGCCCAGGAAGAAGGGAGCAUCUGGGGAAGGUGAGGGAAGAGGAGGACCAUCCAGGAAAAACAGAUGGAGGUGGAGGCUUGGCCUGGGACUGAGGACGAAGCUGUCUCCCAGGAAUAAGUCACAUUCCCUGCACCCAGCCCCGCAGCCCAGGACAGUACCUGGGACAGGUGCAGCUCCCUCUGCCUGGAACCCUCUUCCCAGAACCAGCUUCUUCUCAUCCACUGGGAGCCAGUCUAGAUGAUACCUGCACAGCUGGCCAGUUCUCAGGAGCCUGGCAUAGAGCAGGCACCCCGAGUGGCUGUG